rnacentral:rRNA from 1 species
UACGGAGGAGGCAAGCGUUAUCCGGAAUUAUUGGGCGUAAAGCGUCCGCAGGUGGCACUUCAAGUCUGUCGUCAAAGACUGGGGCUUAACCCUGGAAAGGCGGUGGAACCUGAAGCGCUAGAGUGUGGUAGGGGUAGAGGGAAUUCCGGGUGUAGCGGUGGAAUGCGUAGAGAUCCGGAAGAACACCGGAGGCGAAGGCGGCUUGCUGGGCGUGAUCUGACGCUGAGGCGCAAAAGCGUGGGGAGCGAACAGG